UUCCAUGCAAGAAUACUAGAGUGGGUAGCCCUUCCCUUCUCCAGGGUAUCUUCCCAAGCCAGGGUUUGAAUCCCAUCUCCUGCAUUGCAGGGCAGAUUCUUUACUGCUGAGCCAGCGGAAAGCCCUUAUGAGCUGAUACCUAGUAGCAAUCAUACAAGGUGAGUGAGGGAGUGGGGAGAGGGCUUGCUAGAGGGCUGAGCACCAUUUUGCUUCCUAACAGCCAUGUGGAUCACUGCAAUUCAUUGCAACAGGGAAAAGGGGAUGUCCAGCUUCCGGUUUCCUGGUCUCUGCAGAGCUUAACCUAACUGGGAAUCCAACAGAGCAAGAGGACAUUCAGAACACCCAUUGGCAAGUGGUGCAGAGUCAGCACUCUUGCCUGCAAAGUCCCAGGGACGGGGGAGCCUGGUGGGCUGCAGUCCACGGGGUCGUGAAGAGUCGGGCACGACUGAAGCGACUUAGCAGCAGCAGCAGCAGAAUCAGUAUGAAGACGGUCUGCACUGAAACACUGAAGCUCUGAGCAUUUCACAAUGCACAUUUUGUUUGGGGCAUGGAGCUGGAAGAAGUUAUUUGACCUGGGUUGUGAUUCAGCUGGAAGAAGCCAGGCAGACUUUCCAGGUCCUGAAAGGAAGGCUGGUCCCACAAGGCCCUUAUUCCACGUGAGAAAGGCAAUCUUCAUUGUGACGCUGACUCAGGCCCCAAAGAGUUUGGGGUGACUUGAAGUGUUUUGGUCGGAGUGAAUUCUAAGUGGGCCAAGUGGUCCCACCAUGGCUAUUAGAUUCCUCUUGCAUUUUCUUUUUCUUGAUCACUUACAGUUGAGCACAAAGCUGAUGCUAAGCCAUGUGGAUUUGCCGGGCGUCUGAAAAGGACUCCCAAAGUGACAACAAGGCAAAAAGGGAUAGGGAAGAAUCCCACUGCCCGGCACCUGCCUUGCCUGGGAAGUGACAUUCAUCAUCUGUCUACGGGAGCAAGUCACACCCCCAUUGAUGGAAGGCUGGGAAAUGCAAGAGGGCACACAAUGUGCUUUUACUUCCUGUCUUUGCCGUGUGUGUCAUGCAUGUUCUGUGAUGCUCAAAUGAAAUUACAGAUUAAAGUACUUUAUCAGUUUUUCACAGUAUUUAUAACAGGCUUAUAUUACUUUGUAUUUCAUUCAGGAUGUGCCAAUUUUGGUAUGUUUGUUCCCACUUGUACACACUUCCCCCCCCCGCCAGUUGCCUCUCUUCAAAAUAGAAACAGCAGCCCUGAAGUUUCUUAAAGGCUGGUUGGCAAACAGGUUCUUCCACUCUCUACCUUUUUGCACCUAAACACUUGGUCACCCAUCACUUGAUUAGAGCAACAGAGUGAAAACACAUUGGAACGAGUGGAAGAUUUGAAUUUUAGAAGAAAUAUAGAAGACUUGUAGAAAUUUGAACUGGCUGCUGACAACCCUGCCAAUUUUGUUUUAACGGCAAAGACGCCUCUAUAAUGAACCGCUGGCAUGGCAUGCAAAUCACACGUGGAGACCUUCCUUGAGUAGCUUCAGUAGGACCCCUAUCAAUCUUGUUUGUGUUACUGAUUUGCUUAGUGAAGCCACUUCUCAAAAAGAGUACAAAGGCAGGCUUCAAUGCAGCUUGAGCCAAAUUAUUAUAAUUCUGGAAUGAGUGGAAUCUGAAAUAAUGAGGUUUUAUUUUCCUUUGCCCUGGGGGUUUCUAUGUAGUAUUGGAAGAGGAAGAAAUAUUUGUUUUAUUUAAAAGACACACAACUUUCAUUGUGUUCAAAGCGGAGUUAGAAAACAAGUCAAUAAAACAGCCUCCUGGUACAAUGGGACUUGUUCUGGUAUUA